GCGUUUGAGACAAGAGAGACAGCCAAUGAGGGAAAUGUUGACCAGCAGAAUGAAGAGAUGAUGGCUCUGCUAGUGUAACUGGAAAGAAAGACACAGCUUUUGAGGUCAGACUGAGCGUCAGUGAGAGCCAGGUGGAGUAGCCGAAGACAGAGAAUGCAGCAGCUGAGUUGGAUUUUCUCUGCUCGUUUGGGUUCAGGAGACGUUGGACCCUACAAUGGCGAAUUCCCAUUUCAUUGGACUGAAUUGACUGAAUUGCAAUGGAAUUGAUCCCAACCCUGUGGUCUAAUGUGGCAAAAGGUCGCAAAGUUCAAGGGGGCCGAAUACUUUCGCAAGGCACUGAAUGUCACAUAUCCACUUGUUACUCGAUAGAAAGACAGAAUUGAUGUCACUUCCUGUUUCUCCUAGUCUACUAGUUCACUGUCAAGGAUGACAGUGACAAUGCUUACUAUGGAGCACGCCUGCUAAAGAACGGCAAGAGUAUAAU